AUAAUACUAACUUUUUUGUGUCAUUUGUUCUAGAGAGGUGAAAUAGCUUGGCACAAUGGCUGAGUGAGUUUACACUGUGGCUGCAUUGCCAAUGGACGAAAAAGUGUGCCACUGCUUUUGGUCUUCUGAAGAUCGACGAAGAGGGACGUAUAAUUGAAUUUGCAGAAAAGCCAAAAGGAGAUCAGUUGAAAGCUAUGAAAGUGCAAGCUUACUUAUAUGAUGGCUACUGGGAAGACAUUGGUACCAUUGAGGAUUUCUAUAAUGCAAUCCUCGGAAUCACCAAAAAGCCUGUGCCGGACUUCAGUUUCUUCGAUCGUUUGCGAUAUUUGCCUCCCUCUAAGAUGCUUGAUGCUGAUAUCACAGAUAGUGUUAUCGGCGAAGGAUGUGUGAUUAAGAGAACAUGGAUGCUUUGAUGGAACUGCUUGCCUUAGAAAGAUAGACUUAAGAGUCUAUGGAGGGUUCACAUAACUUAUCAAUGCUCUAGGAAACAUGUCCAGUUAAACAUAGUCUGCCUGAAAGUCAUGAGAGUCCUUCUCAAAUGACUCUGACCCAAAUCCCUGUUGACUCUGCACCAAGACCAGUAGAUGAGUUUCUAUAUAAUACACCUAGAAUGACCUUGCAAGGACUUAGAGUUGCCAUAAUACUAACUUUUUUUGUGUCAAUUUAUUAUUUUGUUUGAUGUAAUAGUUAUAUCUGAACUGAUUAUGGGUUUUAUAUUACCCCUUCCAUUUGAAGGUUUUGUUUGAAAUUGAGGGUUAUGGAUAACACCAAUAUGGCGACAUUUGUUGUAUUUGACAAAGAUGCAAGCUCAUUGUUUAACAUUAGUGCUGCUGACAUGAUUCAACAAGCUCAAAGGAAUGCCGCUGUUGAAGUGGUUCCACCACAAUUAAUGGAUAUGCUUGAGGCUACAUGGUUGUUCAAGGUCGAGACCAAACCUUCAAGCAAUCCCAGAUUUGAGCAAUCCUUUAGGGUCAGGAAGAUAUGCACUGAUAGUGCCAUAAUUAAGAUGUUCAAAUAUUAUAAUUUGUAUAUAAAAAAAGGGUUAAAUAUGUAUAUCUCAAAUAUAUUUUUUUUAAUUUGUUUUGAGGACAAAAGUUGCUAGAUUAUUUAUAAGGAUUUACCAAAAAAUUAUUUAUAAAAAUUGUUUAAUAAAAAACAGACCG